UACGUAGGUGGCAAGCGUUGUCCGGAUUUAUUGGGUUUAAAGGGUGCGUAGGCGGCGAUCUAAGUCAGUGCUGAAAUCUCCCGGCUUAACCGGGAGGGUGGCAUUGAUACUGGGUUGCUUGAGUAAAGUUGAGGUAGGCGGAAUUGACGGUGUAGCGGUGAAAUGCUUAGAUAUCGUCAAGAACACCAAUAGUGAAGACAGCUUACUAAACUUUAACUGACGCUGAGGCACGAAAGUGUGGGGAUCAAACAGG
rnacentral:rRNA from 1 species